rnacentral:rRNA from 1 species
UACGAAGGGGGCUAGCGUUGUUCGGAAUCACUGGGCGUAAAGGGCUCGUAGGCGGCCAACUAAGUCAGACGUGAAAUCCCUCGGCUUAACCGGGGAACUGCGUCUGAUACUGGAUGGCUUGAGUUUGGGAGAGGGAUGCGGAAUUCCAGGUGUAGCGGUGAAAUGCGUAGAUAUCUGGAGGAACACCGGUGGCGAAGGCGGCAUCCUGGACCAACACUGACGCUGAGUGAGCGAAAGCCAGGGGAGCAAACGGG